AACGAACGCUGGCGGCAUGCCUAACACAUGCAAGUCGAACGAGACGUUCGUGUUUUGUUGCGCUCGUCUGCGUAACGCGUGGGAACCUGCCCUUAGGUUCGGAAUACCUCACUGAGAGGGGUCCUCAUACCAGAUAAUCUCUUCGGGCCAAAGAUUUCUGGCCUUUGGAUGGGCGCGGGUUGGUUUAGCCAGUUGGUAGGGGAAAAGCCUGCCAAGGGGGCGAUGCAGAGCUGGUCGGGGAGGAUGAUCAGCCGCGCUGGGGCUGAGACACGGGCCAGACUCGGACGGGAGGCAGGAGUGGGGAAUAUGGGACGAUGAGCGAUAGUCUGAUCCAGCAACGCGGGGUGAGUGAUGAAGGCGGUAGGGUUGUAAUGCUCUUUGACCCGAGAUGAUAAUGACAGUACCGGGAGAAGAAGCACCGGCUAACUACGUG
rnacentral:rRNA from 1 species